CUUCUUCGAUCUGCUGCGGACAGAUGAAGUGGAUGUGGGUGUCAACGCCGCCAGCGGUAAGGAUCAUGCCCUCACCGGCGAUGAUUUCAGUGGCUGCGCCGAUGGCGAUGGUGACGUCCGGCUGGAUAUCCGGGUUACCGGCUUUGCCAAUGGCGGCGAUGCGGCCGUUCUUGAUGCCGACGUCCGCUUUGACGAUGCCCCAGUGGUCAACGAUCAAUGCGUUGGUGAUCAGCGUAUCGACCACAUCGGCCGCCAUCAGUUGGCCCUGGCCCAUGCCGUCACGGAUG
rnacentral:sRNA from 1 species